rnacentral:rRNA from 1 species
GUCUAUGGCCACGCCACCCUGAACAAGCCCGAUCUGGUCUGAUCUCGGAAGCUAAGCAGGGUCAGGCCUGGUUAUUACUUGUAUGGGACACCACCUAGGAAGACCAGGUGCUGUAGGUA